rnacentral:ncRNA from 2 species
UUCUAUCUUCGGGGCAGGGUGUAAUUCCCGACCGACGGUAACAAGCAAUUUGCUUGAAGUCCGUGACCCGCAUGUUGCGGUGGAUCUGGUGAGAGUCCAGAGCCGACAGUUAAAGUCUGGAUGGGAGAAGAUACGG